CCGCCCCCCCGCACCGCCCGGCGCCCGAGCUGCAGGAAGGAGCUGCCAGCUCUAGCCGGGCUUGCCUCAGCGCGCGGAUCUGCACCAUGCCCCGCAUAGAUGCAGAUCUGAAGCUGGACUUUAAGGAUGUCCUGCUCCGACCCAAGCGAAGCAGCCUCAGGAGCCGAGCCGAGGUGGAUCUUGAGCGUACCUUCACGUUUCGGAACUCGAAGCAGACCUACUCGGGGAUCCCCAUCAUUGUGGCCAACAUGGACACCGUGGGGACAUUCGAGAUGGCAGCAGUGAUGUCACAGCACUCCAUGUUUACGGCAAUUCAUAAGCACUACGCCCUGGAUGAAUGGAAGCUCUUUGCUGCUAAUCACCCAGAAUGUCUGCCGCACGUAGCCGUGAGUUCGGGCAGCGGGAAGAGCGACCUGGAAAAGAUGAGCAGCAUCUUGGAAGCCGUGCCACAGGUCAAGUUUAUCUGCCUGGACGUGGCCAAUGGGUACUCAGAACAUUUUGUGGAAUUCGUGAAGCUGGUGCGUGCCAGAUUUCCAGAACACACUAUCAUGGCCGGGAACGUGGUGACAGGGGAGAUGGUGGAAGAGCUUAUUCUUUCUGGAGCAGACAUAAUCAAAGUGGGCGUCGGACCAGGCUCUGUGUGUACCACUCGCACCAAGACCGGGGUGGGCUACCCCCAACUGAGUGCCGUGAUCGAGUGUGCGGACUCCGCCCACGGCCUGAAGGGGCACAUCAUCUCCGACGGAGGCUGCACUUGUCCAGGAGAUGUCGCCAAAGCCUUUGGGGCCGGAGCCGAUUUUGUCAUGCUGGGAGGGAUGUUUUCGGGCCACACUGAGUGUGCCGGAGAGGUGAUUGAGAAGAACGGGCAGAAACUCAAGCUCUUCUACGGGAUGAGCUCCGAAACCGCGAUGAAGAAACACGCAGGAGGGGUCGCCGAAUACAGGUGUGGUGCACGCCGUUGCAUGGAGGUCAGGCCUUUCCGGAAGGGUGCCGUGUUUCCCCUGCAGUGGGACCGUCCGCAGCCUCCACGCUCUGAUGGUUGACACAGGGGCAGCAUUUUUAGCCAUUUAAUUGUGUCGCUCACCGCAGAAGGCAGGCUGACUCCUGCCUUUUUGUUUUACAAAUUCACGAUCCCAAGAGAUAACCUGGCUAUUUUCUGUGUCGCCUCCAUUUUACGUGUCUGCAUGUGUGUUUUAAGAGCCUUAGGACAGCACAUAAUCAUUGCCUGGCCCUGUUCCAUAGAAGCUGCUAUUACUUCUCGUUGGCAUUAGCCUGAUGACAAGUCCCACUAAGCGGACAGGACAGAAGGUCUUGCGUCCAUGGAAACUCAAGCCCUCGCUGCUGGACACCCUCCAUUUCUUACGUUCAGCCCAUACUUGAAAGCUUCUCUCGAGGCUCUGGGAUGCAGAGGUGUUGUGGGAGAGUGCGAUUGAGCCAGAGGGCAGAUCCCAGAACCCCGCUGAGAUUCAUGGGCGGGCAGGUGGGAGGUGUGGGGGACUCCGCCAGAGUUCCGCGCUUCCGUGGGAUCCUGGCGGACUGAUGUCCGUUCCCAUUCUCUCCAGUCUUUUUCUCCUUUGGAAGAGGAAACUCCGUCACGAUGAUGUUGCAGCCUAGGGAAGGCAGGGUGGGGAACAGGAACAGGGGACCACGCUUCUACCAUCAUCCGGGAAACUUGGGUUAGAACAGGAGGACGCUGUCCCUCCCACGUGGUGCCCGAUGGGAGAGGUGGCAUGGCUCGUGAGGGCGGGCAGGGUGAGGAUUACUGCCUCGGUGGCACCCCGGACCUCUGGCCCAGAAGCUUCACGCUUUACCAGCAACCACCCUCCCUACCCAAGGUCCUGUGCGGUGUCUGCUGGGUGCUGGUACGUUAAGCGGAGCCAUUGUGGUUCGGCAACAGCUAGAUGCUUCGCCUGGAGUACAUUUAUUGCCCUCUAGCUGUUGCAUCCGUUUUGGGUUCCACGGAAAGUAGACAGGGAAGGGCAGACCAGGUUAUAGCACACACGGAAGCCAAGGAGCCGAAAGAAAAACCCAUCUGUAAUUUCAGCAGGGUUUAGGCAAAACGAAAAUAGAAGACUCAAGCAUAUCAAGACUGUUCUGGAAGCCGAUUAGACAAGAAAGGGAAGUGCUGAAGGAAUUAGAACCUCAAUCUGGAGGCAGCCUGGGCCCUGCGGGCUGCAUCUGUUUUUUGCCAUCUCUCUCUGUCUCUCUGCCUCCCUCCCUCUUUCUUUCUCUUUUUUUCCCUGGCAGUUUACAGUCUUCUCACAAGAAUGGUCCCCCUUUGACGUUGUAUUUAAGUAAGGUAGAGCUUGUUUAUGCCUUGCUGCUUCCUUCCCAGCCAUUAACCAUUUAGUCCUCACGCUGCCCCUGGGAGACAGAUCAAAGUACCUUCGUUUUACGGAUGAGAAGACUUGGGCUUCAGCAAUAAGUGACUUGCACGAGGUGCCAUCACCAGGUAGCAGAGAAGCAACGAUGAGAGUCUGGAUGGUUUCCAGCAAGCCCCGGGCAGGCCAUGGAAAUCUCUUGUAAAAAGCAAAAUGGCAGUCACUGUGGGCACAGGGGCAGAGAUGUUGGUCCCUGGUCACAGAGCGUGGUGAUGUGAAUCGUCUUGGGAGUGGCCAGUGACGGGCUCCGUGAGCUUGGUGCUCUGAACCAGCCCUGAGGCCAGCUUGGUCUAGUCAGUGGUUUAAGCGGGUAGAUUUCAUUGCACUUAAGGGUAGCCUUGGAUGUGUGGAUUUCAGCGCAACAAGAGUUAAUGCUGUUUUGAAAUCCUAGGUAAUGAAUUUCUGAUUGAGAGAUGCUAUCUUUUCUAGUUGAAGAGACCAGGAAAGAAGAGUCCACCGUUUGGUUAAUUGUCAGAAUUUCCAGAUUGCCCGAGCCUUAGAUGAAGGCUAGAGUUUUGCAUAGAUUGGAGAUUUCCUUCUUGUAAUGGCCCUCCAGAAGCAAGUGUGGACUGUAUGUCCAUGCAGCCUAACAGGGCUUGAGUUGUCCAUUUUGUGGAUCUUCCUUGACUUACGGGGCUAUGUCCUGAUAAACCCAUCUUAAGGUAAAAAUAUCGUAAACUGAAACCCAUUUAAUACACCUAGCCCCUCGGACGUCGUAGCUCAGCCUAGCCCACCUUACGUGUGCUCAGAACACUCACGUUAGCGUUCAGUUGGGUAGAAUCUUCUAACACGAGGCCUUUUUAAUAAUGAAGUGUUGAAUGUCUGGUGUCAUUUGUCAGAUACCCUACUGCAAAACAGUAUAUACAGGUCGUACGGGUGCAGGGUGGUUGGUCACUGUAUUGGGACCGUUCACCCCUCACGAUCCCGGGGCUGACGUAGCUGCGGCCAUCAGUGGCCUGCAUCACAGGUGAGGAUUGUACGCACAUCACCAGCUCCGGAAAGGAUCCAAGUCCGGAAUUUGACGUAUGGUUUCUGCUGAAUGCGCAUUGCUUUCGCACCAUGGCGGAGUCAAACCGUGAGCUUCCGAGGGCAAGACCGUGGAAGUGCCUUACAAAGGGGAUGUAGAAAACACUAUUCGGGAUAUUCUUGGGGGACUGAGGUCCACGUGCACUUACGUGGGGGCCGCCAAACUCAAGGAGCUCAGCAGGAGGGCGACG